CGCCUCGUUCCUCAUGGAUAAAACCCCCAAAAUCCCUGUAGAUCUCCAGCUUUUGACACCUGGUUCCUCACGGACAAGAUCCCAAAAAUCCCUGUAAAUCUCCCCACCUUUAGAUGCCUCGUUCCUCACAGACAAAACCCCCAAAAUCCCUGGUUAAUCUCCACCUUUAAACUCCUCAAUUCCUCACGAACAAAACCCCAAAAUUCCCUGGUUAAUCUCCACCUUCAGAUGCCAGGUUCCUCAUGGACAAAACCCCAAAAUUCCCUGGUAAAUCUCUACCUUUAGACGCCUGGUUCCUCACGGACAAAACCCCAAAAUUCCCUUGUUCAUCUCCCCCUUCACACACCUCAUCCCUCCCAGACAAAAACCCCUAAAUCCCUGCAGAUCUCCACCUUCAGCCUCCUGUUUCCUCACCCGACGGCUCAUCCCCUACAAAACCAACCCCAGAAAAGCCACGGGGAACUUUUGGGGUGGGCAGCUGGAUAUGGUGAAGGUCUGCACCCUGCUGAAGUAAGCUUCUUUGCUCGUCGACUCCGAGGGGGGGGCAUCGGGCUGCGGAGACCCGUUAGCGGCUUGGGGCCCGGCCGCCGCGUCCUUCCUAAAGGGGACAGCGAGAAAAACGUCCUCACCCCCCCAAAAAAACCUUCUGCCGCCUCGUCCUCGCCACCGGCCCUUCUUCAGAAGCCCACGAGCCCCCCCCGGACCGGGGGGGGCUCGGGGGCUUCUGAAGAAGGGCCGGUGGCGAGGACGACCCCCCCGUGAGCCCCUUUUGGGCCCCCGCGGACGUCUUCUCCUCUCCCCCCCACGCGCCGGACGCCCCCUCCAGCACCCCCUAAACCCCCCCUCUACCCCCUCAAAUGCCCCCCAAUCCUCCACAGCACCCCCUAAAACCCCCCCUCAGCACCCUUCAAACCCCCUCUCAUCACCCCUAAACGCCCCCAUCGCCCCCCCAAACCCCCCAACGCCACUCAGUGCCCCCUAAACCCCCUCUCAGCACCCCCCAACCCCC
rnacentral:lncRNA from 1 species